UACGUAGGUGGCAAGCGUUGUCCGGAUUUAUUGGGUUUAAAGGGUGCGUAGGCGGUUCUAUAAGUCAGUGGUGAAAUCCGGCAGCUCAACUGUCGAUGUGCCAUUGAUACUGCAGAACUUGAGUACAGACGAGGUAGGCGGAAUUGACGGUGUAGCGGUGAAAUGCUUAGAUAUCGUCAAGAACACCGAUAGCGAAGGCAGCUUACUAGACUGUAACUGACGCUGAUGCACGAAAGUGUGGGGAGCAAACGGG
rnacentral:rRNA from 1 species